CACGUAGGAGGCAAACGUUAUCCGGAUUUACUGGGCGUAAAGCGCGUGUAGGUGGUUCUGUAAGUAGGGCGUGAAAGCUCCUGGCUCAACUGGGAGAGGCCGUUCUAAACUGCAGAGCUAGAGGAUGGUAGAGGAAGGUGGAAUUCCGGGUGUAGCGGUGGAAUGCGCAGAUAUCCGGAGGAACACCAGUGGCGAAGGCGGCCUUCUGGACCACUCCUGACACUCAGACGCGAAAGCUAGGGUAGCAAACGGG
rnacentral:rRNA from 1 species